rnacentral:rRNA from 1 species
AGAGUUUGAUCAUGGCUCAGAAUCAACGCUGGCGGCGUGCCUAACACAUGCAAGUCGAACGCGAGAGGGGCUUCGGCCCCAAUUGAGUGGCGAACGGGUGAGUAACGCGUGGGUGACCUACCUUCGAGUGGGGGAUAACGUCCCGAAAGGGACGCUAAUACCGCAUAACAUCCUGCUCUUGAACGAGCGGAGAUCAAAACCGGGGAUCGUAAGACCUGGCGCUUGAUGAGGGGCCCGCGUCUGAUUAGCUAGUUGGUGAGGUAAUGGCCCACCAAGGCGACGAUCAGUAUCCGGCCUGAGAGGGCGGACGGACACACUGGGACUGAGACACGGCCCAGACUCCUACGGGAGGCAGCAGUGGGGAAUUGUUCGCAAUGGGCGCAAGCCUGACGACGCAACGCCGCGUGGAGGAUGAAGGUCUUCGGAUUGUAAACUCCUGUUGCUCGGGACGAAAAGCUCCGACCUAACACGUCGGAGUCUGACGGUACCGAGUGAGGAAGCCCCGGCUAACUCUGUGCCAGCAGCCGCGGUAAUAC